CCCGGUCCGGUUCGGGCCGAGCUCCCCGGGCCGGGCUCCCCGGGCAGGGCCGGGCUCCCCGGUCCGGUUCGGGCCGAGCUCCCCGGGCCGAGCUCCCCGGGCAGGGCCGGGCUCCCCGGUCCCGUUCGGGCCGAGUUCCCCUGGCCGGGCUCCCCGCGCCGAGCCCCCGGGCCGAGCUCCCCGGGCAGGGCCGGGCUCCCCGGUCCCGUUCGGGCCGAGUUCCCCUGGCCGGGCUCCCCGGGCCGAGCUCCCCGUGCCGCUCCGCUCCUGUCCCCUCCUCGCCCUCCGCUGUUCCCAGGGCGGCUCAGCGCCGCUGCGGGCCCUGCCAGGAGGGGACCAGCACAAACACAGCUAGAGCCCGGUGUCCUCGGCAGGCGCCAGCUCAGCCCGAGUGUUCCGCACAGACACCUGACGAAAUAAAUGAGCCCGGACACCAGCUCCUUUUUAAAGCCUUUAUUAAAGACUCCUCUCCCCUCCUUUCUUUGAAAUGGCCUCCAUCUCUACUAAGUCUGAUAGAAGCCACCUGGAAUGGGAAUCAUCUGGUAUGGAGUAGGAUUCUGAGAUCAUGGUGGAGAGCUGCAAACCAGACCAUCAUUUUGUCUCUCAUGAUUUUGGAUGCUACUAAAUUCUUUGCUAAGAUGAAUUUCUGCAUUUAUGUGAUGCAGCAUCUUACACGGGACUGAUAAUAAAGCAUUGUCCUCUAUCCUACCUCAUCC
rnacentral:lncRNA from 12 species